rnacentral:lncRNA from 1 species
CAACCCUCAGUGUGGUGCGUCGCAGCAACCCUCCCAGCACGGCCCCCCGACCACGCUCCAACUGCUACGAGACUUUACCCUACGGUCAACUUGGAGGAUCCACGCAGAGUGUGGAUAGGGACCUGGGUCUUCUGCUCUGGGGGAGAGAGGGAAGCUGGACGGAGAUCACGAGAGACCGGGCCCAGGAGGAGGUGACAGGCGGCCCUUUUGUGCGCACCUUCAGUUUCCUACGCAAGAUGGCCGGCAACCGCAAGAAAGAAUGGUGCUGGAGGAGAUCCGCCUCUACCAUCACUCCUAUUAGCCAACGUGCAAUCAUUGGAUAAUAAAAUGGAUGAGCUCCUAUCAAGACUAUCCUACCAACGGGACAUUAAAAUCUGUAAUAUCUUAUGUUUCACCGAGUCAUGGCUGAACGACGACAUGGAUAACAUACAGCUGGC